AAAGUCUUCCAUUUCUCCAGCUUAGGACAAUGAACCCUAGAGGAGGAGAAGGUAGGCUCCAGCCAACAGAGUCAAGAGCCGGUAACAAAACUUGGCUGACCUAACUACAACCAUGAGAACAGCAGGCAGCUCCCAUACCCUACUGCUCCAAAGUAGUCAAGAGAUGUGUGGACCGAGUUCAUUUCCUCUAGAAGCAUUUGUCAAAGUGGCGUCAAGGAAUGUCUUAUAUCACCCCUACUAUCAAAUACUUAUACUUUGUGGGCCCUGAGGCCCCUUUAGACCCAUUUUUCAUGGCCUGGUGUCAAUCUGAUCUUGAAGCCAUUUGCUGUAAGACGAGGGUCACACAGGUCUUUUCAUUUUUGCUCGGAAUGCUGAAGACUUUACUGACUGUGAUAUCACAGAAAAUGCACUGGCUGUAUGUCUAGUUCAUCUUACCAACUCUGGAAUCAAUCUGAAAGCUUGUGGUAAAGAUGACAAGGGAGACUCCACAGGGGUUCUGCAAGGAGUUUAUGAUUCUCAAGAAGUCUUUUAAAUAGCAGGGCUUCCUCCACUCUGUAUGGGUUCAGUAACAUGACAUCGGCUCUGGACGUGACCAGCCACGAAUCAGGAAACUUGAGACUGUGGAUCAGGGACCCUCCUGUGUGCUUAGGAUAAACUCCAAACAGAGCACAGAAAUCGGCCCCUGAAAAGCAGUCAAAAGCAAAUGAGAAAGGACUGUACUUGCAUCCAUGAAGCCCGACCCAGCAUAAGCAGGUGGGAGCUGCAGGAAUCAGCUAGGAGAUGGAAGGCACUUAUUACUCUGUAUCAUCAGAACACAGAUCCUUGCUUCCAGAACAACUUAAAAUCGAGAGAAAAUCCCAUGUGUGAGAGCUCUCGGGAAAACAUUAAAA
rnacentral:lncRNA from 1 species